CAGUAGCCGCGGGAAUACGUAGGUGGCAAGCGUUGUCCGGAAUUAUUGGGCGUAAAGGGCUCGCAGGCGGUUUCUUAAGUCUGAUGUGAAAGCCCCCGGCUCAACCGGGGAGGGUCAUUGGAAACUGGGAAACUUGAGUGCAGAAGAGGAGAGUGGAAUUCCACGUGUAGCGGUGAAAUGCGUAGAGAUGUGGAGGGACACCAAUGGCGAAGGCGACUCUCUGGUCUGUAACAGACGCUGAGGAGCGAAAGCGUGGGGAGCGAACAGGAUUAGAUACCCCAGUAGUCCCUGUCUCUUAUAC
rnacentral:rRNA from 1 species